rnacentral:lncRNA from 1 species
AUAAUGAAGUAAAAAUUGUAUGUAAGCCUACUUCAUUUCAUCAGUAUUAAAAAAUACUAAUUAUGUGGCAUGUUGGUAUGUCAUGCUGGUAUUAUAGUUAUGUGGUAUCCAUGGCAUGUAGGUAUGUCAUGUUGGUACCAUGUGGUAUCCAUGGCAUGUAGGUAUGUCAUGUUGGUACCAUGGCAUGUAAGGUAUGUCAUGUUGGUCCAUGGCAUGUAGGUAUGUCAUGUUGGUACCAUGGCAUGUGGGUAUGUCAUGUUGGUACCAUGUUGGUACCAUGGCAUGUAGGUAUGUCAUGUUGGUACCAUGUAGUAUCCAUGGCAUGUAGGUAUGUCAUGCUGGUACCAUGUAGUAUCCAUGGCAUGUAGGUAUGUCAUGCUGGUAUCAGUUAUGUGGUAUCCAUGGCAUGUAGGUAUGUCAUGUUGGUACCAUGUAGUAUCCAUGGCAUGUAGGUAUGUCAUGCUGGUAUUAUAGUUAUGUGGUAUCCAAUCAUGUUGAAACGGUAUUCUAUUUUAUGUGUAUUUAGGGAUGUAGCAUACAAAGUGAAUACACUAUGUAGGUAUGUGGUUCCAUGGUAUAUCAACAUACCAGUAUGCAGGUAUAUGGCAUACACACACAUGUAUUACAUAAUUCAAAAUAUGUUGCCAUGUGGUCUUUACACACGUGGCAAGUAUGAUGGUAUGCAUGCGAUAUGUUGGCUCAUAGCCACCAGCUUCUGUACACAGAAGGUAGGGAGUUUAAGGUAUGUUGCUAUGUAGGUUUGGGUAUGUUGCUGUGUAGGUAGUUUUGGAUAUGUUGCCAUGUAGGUACUUUUGGAUA